rnacentral:rRNA from 1 species
CUAACAAGGAUUCCCCUAGUAGCGGCGAGCGAAGAGGGAAAAGCCCAGCACCGAACCUCGCACCCCCGGGUGUCGCGGAAUGUGGUGUUCAGGAGGACCGUGCGCGUCUGUCCGGUAUCGUCCAAGUCUCCAUGAAUGGGGCCAGCAACCCAGAGAGGGUGUCAGGCCCGUGGGACGAGCCGCGACCGUGUAUUGGGUCUCUCCUUAGAGUCGGGUUGCUUGAGAGUGCAGCCCUAAGCGGGAGGUAAACUCCUUCUAAGGCUAAAUACGGCCACGAGACCGAUAGCGAACAAGUACCGCGAGGAAAGUUGAAAAGAACUUUGAAGAGAGAGUUCAAUAGUGCGUGAAACCGUUCAGGGGGUUAAACGGGUGGGCCCUCGAAGGUCGAACGCCCCCUACUCCUGUUCCUGUAGCGCUGGCACGUGCUGCUUUUCGAUCUCGCUACGAGACGGAGCUUGGUGCGGUAUGCCGGACUGCAGGGGCCGCUAGUUAGGGGGCCAGUAGGACUCCGCAACCGGCUGGGUUUUUAAGUCGUCAGAAGGGUUCUGGAGGAAGCCUCCUCUGGGGGUGAAAUCCGGGAUUCCGGGCGAUCUUCCCGGCCGUGAACCAGAAUUCCCCCGUCUGGCGUCUGGGACGAGUUCUGGCAACAGGACUGUCGGUUCUGGGCGUCACCGUGGGGACACCGCGGAGAGUAGAGUCGGGUCCCACCCGACCCGUCUUGAAACACGGACCAAGGAGUCUAACAUGUGCGCGAGUCGUCGGGUACUACUAAACCCGAAGGCGCAAUGAAAGUGAAGACUGUGCCUCGUCGCCGGUCUAGGGGAGAUCCCGUUCUGCUUCGGUAGCUCGGGCGCAUCCCCGGGCGUCGAAGCCGCGUUGCCGGCUAGACGAACCAAGAGCGUACACGUUGGGACCCGAAAGAUGGUGACCUAUGCCUGGCCAGGACGAAGCCAGGGGAAACCCUGGUGGAGGUCCGCAGCGAUUCUGACGUGCAAAUCGAUCGUCGGAGUUGGGUAUA